GCUAGUGUGGCUCAACGGCAGAGCAACUGUCUUGUAAACAGUAGGUUACAGGUUCAAAUCCUGUCACUAGCUCCA
rnacentral:tRNA from 1 species